CGGACGGGUGAGUAAUGUCUGGGAAACUGCCCGAUGGAGGGGGAUAACUACUGGAAACGGUAGCUAAUACCGCAUAACGUCGCAAGACCAAAGAGGGGGACCUUCGGGCCUCUUGCCAUCGGAUGUGCCCAGAUGGGAUUAGCUAGUAGGUGGGGUAACGGCUCACCUAGGCGACGAUCCCUAGCUGGUCUGAGAGAAUGACCAGCCACACUGGAACUGAGACACGGUCCAG
rnacentral:rRNA from 1 species